UACGUAGGUGGCAAGCGUUGUCCGGAAUUACUGGGCGUAAAGGGCUCGUAGGUGGCCAACUAAGUCAUACGUGAAAUCCCUCGGCUUAACCGGGGAACUGCGUCUGAUACUGGAUGGCUUGAGGUUGGGAGAGGGAUGCGGAAUUCCAGGUGUAGCGGUGAAAUGCGUAGAUAUCUGGAGGAACACCGGUGGCGAAGGCGGCAUCCUGGACCAAUUCUGACACUGAGGAGCGAAAGCCAGGGGAGCAAACGGG
rnacentral:rRNA from 1 species